AGCCCCAGCCCUUGUGUAGGCAGGAGGAACUCACGGAGAGCUUCUCCUGCCCUUGCAAGCGCACACCAGCGACUGGUAACUGUCUCCAAGGGAACCGGCAUUGCUCCCUAGCCAUUCAUCUGCAUGAGUGCUUUCUUGGCUACCGUAACCGGUCAAGAAAGCAGCUUUCCUGCUUGUCAGAGUCACUGAGGUCAGCCGUGUGAGCCCCUGUGUGGGACAAGGGUGUCUCCUUCAUUGCUUCAAAGUAUUUAUAAGGGUGAUUGAUUAUACAUGUUGGGGAGCCAGAUGACUAGCGUCACUUUAAAAAAAAAAUCACCGCUGGUGGCUGGCCCAGUGAGUAUGUGUGUAGACAACCUGUUUACCCCAAAAUAUGGCCAUCCCGGAAGUGGUUUUGCUGAAAAGAGGUUGCUGGAGUUGACUUCCCUAUCCCCAAACUUUAAAAUAAAGGGAAUUAAACACACACAGACUACUCCAAACCCACAAGCUAUACACUCUAGGAAGAAAAAAAUAGCACCCUUUUGUACAUUUAGCAAUAAGAGGCAAUCUCUUCCCACCUACCCUGACUAUUCCUGCUCCCAUCCCCCACCCUGUUAAUGUGAGCGAUGCAUUAGCCUGACCACAGGUGGUCGCUAUAGGCUAAUGGAAAAUACCCAACGGAGGGCAAAGCCCCCCUCAGAUGCAUGAAUGUUUGCGGACGGCUGCCACUGCCCCAUACACUGUGUCUUUAUAGGACCCUCCCUCAGCCACCCCACCUGCCAUCUCCACCUGGACACAACUUGCUCAAAGGCUGGUGACUUGUGGGCCAUUCAUCUACAAGUCCUGAUGGAACAAGGCCUAAGCCUAGGGGAUGCAAGAACGACCCAUUUUUAAAACGUUAUUAGUCCCAGCCAAUGUUUUGGUGAUAUUCCAGUUUAGUUUCCCAGUUGAAAACAAGCCAACAGACACUCAGACUGGUCGUGUAAAUGUUGCUAGCCUCUGUUGUACAACUAAACAUUACUGUUUGAACAAUAA
rnacentral:lncRNA from 1 species